rnacentral:rRNA from 1 species
UACGUAGGGGCCAAGCGUUGUCCGGAUUUAUUGGGCGUAAAGAGCUCGUAGGCGGUUCGGCAAGUCAGCUGUGAAAUCUCCACGCUCAACGUGGAGGGGUCAGCUGAUACUGCUGUGACUCGAGUCCGGUAGGGGAGUGUGGGAAUUCCCGGUGUGAGCGGUGAAAUGCGCAGAUAUCGGGAGGAACACCAGUAGCGAAGGCGGCAC